UGGAGUCGAGGAUAGAUUGGGCUCAGAAACGAAGAGCAUUCCAAGCUGUCUCAAACCGCUAAGGACAGAGGAUCGAGACCCGGCGCCCCGGAGGCUACGUCGUCGUACUCUUCGGGUCCACACCUCGGCCCUUCCAGCGACUCUGGCUGUGGCCGCGCGCGCCUGCCUACCGGCCGACGCCGAGCACAGGCUGGUGACCAGAGGCACGUGGGCAGCCAACUGUCGUGGCAGAGCGCGCGCCUGUCACCCAGCGCCGAGCGCUCCAGCCUCGCGGGAGGCGGCCACGCGGCAUCUUGGUCCUGAGUCGCCCGGGGCUGGCCCGCCCCGCUCUUGGCCGUCGCCUGUGGAGAUCGCGUCUUCCCUGCAGCGCCCCCAGCCUGAGGAGGAGAUUUGGCGGCAUGUGCCCCGCGCUGCAAGAGCGGCAGCCACCUGCAGGUGUGAAGAAAACCCUGCAGGAUGAGAUUGAAGCCAUACUGCAGGAGAGGAUUAUGGUGCUAGAUGGAGGGAUGGGGACCAUGAUCCAGCGGUACAAGCUAAAUGAAGAGUACUUUCGUGGUCAAGAAUUUAAAGAUCACGCCAGACCACUGAAAGGCAACAAUGACAUUUUAAGUAUAACUCAGCCUGACAUCAUCUACCAAAUCCAUAAGGAGUAUUUGCUGGCUGGGGCAGACAUCAUUGAAACAAAUACUUUCAGCAGCACUAGUGUUGCCCAAGCUGACUAUGGCCUUGAAGACUUGGCUUAUAGGAUGAACAAGAGCUCUGCAGCACUGGCCAAAAAAGCUGCCGAGGAGGUGACUUUCCAGACAGGAAUUAAGAGGUUUGUGGCAGGAGCUCUGGGUCCAACCAACAAGACACUCUCUGUGUCCCCAUCUGUGGAAAGACCAGAUUACAGGAACAUCAGAUUCGAUGAGCUUGUUGAAGCUUACCAAGAGCAGGCCAAAGGACUUCUAGAUGGCGGGGUUGAUAUCUUACUCAUUGAGACAAUUUUUGAUACUGCCAAUGCCAAGGCAGCCUUAUUUGCACUCCAGAAACUCUUUGAGGAGAAAUACGCUCCCCGGCCUAUCUUUAUUUCAGGGACAAUUGUUGAUAAAAGCGGGCGGACUCUUUCUGGACAGACGGGCGAGGCCUUUGUCAUCAGUGUGUCUCAUGCAGACCCACUCUGUAUUGGAUUAAAUUGUGCCCUGGGUGCAACUGAGAUGAGACCUUUUAUUGAAACAAUUGGAAAAUGUACGACAGCCUAUGUGCUGUGUUAUCCCAAUGCAGGUCUUCCCAAUACCUUUGGCGACUAUGAUGAAACUCCUCAAAUGAUGGCCGUGCACCUAAAGGACUUUGCUGUGGAUGGCUUGGUCAAUAUCGUUGGUGGAUGCUGUGGUACAACACCAGAUCACAUCAGGGAAAUCGCUGAAGGUGUGAAAAAUUGUAAGCCUAGGGUUCCACCUGCCACUGUUUUUGAAGGGCAUAUGUUACUGUCUGGUCUAGAGCCCUUCAGGAUUGGACCGUACACCAACUUUGUUAACAUUGGAGAGCGCUGUAACGUUGCAGGAUCAAGGAAGUUUGCUAAACUCAUCAUGGCAGGAAACUAUGACGAAGGACUGAGUGUUGCCAAAGAGCAGGUGGAAAUGGGAGCCCAGGUGCUGGAUAUCAACAUGGAUGAUGGCAUGCUAGACGGCCCAAGUGCAAUGACCAGAUUUUGCAACUUCAUCGCUUCUGAGCCGGACAUUGCCAAGGUGCCCCUGUGCAUCGACUCUUCCAAUUUUGCUGUGAUCGAGGCCGGGUUAAAGUGCUGCCAAGGCAAGUGCAUUGUCAAUAGCAUUAGUCUGAAGGAAGGAGAGGAUGACUUCUUGGAAAAGGCCAGAAAGAUUAAGAAGUUUGGAGCUGCUGUGGUGGUCAUGGCUUUUGAUGAAGAAGGCCAGGCAACAGAAACAGACACCAAAAUCAGAGUGUGCACUCGAGCCUACCAUCUACUUGUGAAAAAACUGGGCUUUAAUCCAUAUGACAUCAUUUUUGACCCCAAUAUCCUCACCAUUGGUACUGGCAUGGAAGAACACAACUUGUAUGCUGUUAAUUUUAUCCAGGCAACAAAAGUCAUUAAAGAAACAUUACCUGGAGCCAAAAUAAGUGGAGGUCUUUCGAACUUGUCUUUCUCCUUUCGAGGAAUGGAAGCCAUUCGAGAAGCAAUGCAUGGAGUUUUCCUUUACCAUGCAAUCAAGUGUGGCAUGGACAUGGGGAUAGUGAAUGCUGGAAACCUUCCUCUGUAUGAUGAUAUCCAUAAGGAACUUCUCCAGCUCUGUGAAGAUCUCAUCUGGAAUAGAGACCCCGAGGCGACUGAGAAGCUCUUACGUUAUGCCCAGACUCAUGGAACACAAGGGAAAAAAGUCAUUCAGACAGAUGAGUGGAGGAGUGGCCCCAUCGAAGAACGCCUUGAGUAUGCCCUUGUCAAGGGCAUUGAAAAACAUAUUGUUGAGGACACUGAGGAAGCCAGGUUAAACCAGGACAAAUAUCCUCGACCUCUGAAUAUAAUUGAAGGGCCUCUGAUGAAUGGCAUGAAAGUUGUUGGUGAUCUGUUUGGAGCUGGGAAAAUGUUUCUACCUCAGGUUAUAAAGUCAGCUCGGGUCAUGAAGAAGGCUGUUGGGCACCUUAUUCCCUUCAUGGAAAAAGAAAGAGAAGAAACUAGAGAGCUCACUGGUGCCGUUGAAGAAGAGGACCCUUACCAUGGCACCAUUGUGUUGGCCACCGUUAAAGGCGAUGUGCACGACAUAGGCAAGAACAUAGUUGGCGUAGUCCUUGGCUGCAAUAAUUUCAGGGUUAUUGAUUUAGGAGUCAUGACUCCCUGCGAUAAGAUACUGAAGGCUGCUCUUGACAACAAAGCAGAUAUAAUUGGCCUGUCAGGACUUAUCACUCCUUCCCUGGAUGAAAUGAUUUUUGUUGCCAAGGAAAUGGAGAGGUUAGCUAUAAAGAUUCCAUUGUUGAUUGGAGGAGCAACCACUUCCAGAACCCACACAGCGGUUAAAAUAGCUCCAAGAUACAGUGCCCCCGUAAUCCACGUCCUGGAUGCGUCCAAGAGCGUGGUGGUGUGUUCUCAACUAUUAGAUGAAAAUCUGAAGGAUGAAUAUUUUGAGGAAAUCAUGGAGGAAUAUGAAGAUAUUAGACAAGACCAUUAUGAGUCUCUCAAGGAGAGAAGAUACUUACCUUUAAGUCAAGCCAGAAAAAACGGUCUCCAUAUUGACUGGCUGUCAGAGCCUCACCCAGUGAAGCCCACGUUUAUGGGGACUCGAGUCUUUGAAGACUAUGACCUGUGGAAGCUGGUGGACUACAUUGACUGGAAGCCUUUCUUUGACGUCUGGCAACUCCGAGGAAAAUACCCUAACCGAGGCUUCCCCAAGAUAUUUAACGACAAGACAGUAGGUGAAGAGGCCAGAAAAGUCUAUGGUGAUGCCCAAAAUAUGCUGAAAGCCCUGAUUAGUCAAAAGAAACUCCAAGCCCGGGGCGUGGUUGGGUUCUGGCCAGCACAGAGCGUCCAGGAUGACAUCCACGUGUAUGCAGAGGAUGCGGUGCCCCAGGCUGCAGAGCCCAUGGCCACCUUCUAUGGGCUGCGGCAACAGGCUGAGAAGGACUCUGCCAGCACAGACCCAUACCACUGCCUCUCGGACUUCAUCGCGCCUCUGGAUUCCGGCGUCCGGGACUACCUGGGGCUGUUUGCCGUUGCCUGCUUUGGGGUCGAAGAACUGAGCAGGGCCUAUGAGGAGGAGUGUGACGACUACAGCAGCAUCAUGGUCAAGGCGCUGGGGGACCGGCUGGCAGAGGCCUUUGCAGAGGAGCUCCACGAAAGGGUGCGCAAAGAGUUGUGGGCUUACUGUGGCAGCGAGCAGCUGGACAUGGUUGGCCUGCGGAGGCUGCGCUAUGAGGGCAUCCGACCAGCACCUGGCUACCCGAGCCAGCCUGACCACACUGAGAAGCUUACCAUGUGGACACUCGCCAACAUCGAGCCUUCUACAGGCAUUAGGUUAACGGAAUCACUAGCAAUGGCACCCGCCUCAGCAGUAUCAGGCCUCUAUUUCUCCAAUUUGAAGUCCAAAUACUUUGCUGUGGGGAAAAUUUCCAAGGAUCAGGUUGAAGAUUAUGCUCUGAGGAAGAACAUGUCUGUGGCCGAGAUUGAGAAAUGGCUUGGACCCAUUUUGGGAUACGAUACAGACUAACUUUAUUUUGACCUUUUCCGUACUGUGUGAUCCUCAAGGAAACGUAAUCCAGAGUGCCUUAAAAACAACAAUAGCAACUAACCCAUUCACAUCUGCCUAAUACCUGCCCGGCUUCAGGUUUGGAAGCGCUGCUUUCUGGAGCCCUUAGAGGGCUGGGUCUGCCUACGGUGCCUGGAACCACACGGCUGUUCUAUAGGGGCUGUGAGUGUGAGAGCAGCCAGCAGCGCUCUGAAGGCGACUCUGAUCCCUCAGGACUGGGACAGGCUGGAGGUAGAGGUGUUUUUUUGUUUCAAAAUGAGUCAGCUUGCUUUUUUCCAUUUUUACUUUGGAUCUAGGAGGCCACUUAUUCCUUUAAUUGUCUUUCUCUUAAAAAACAAGCCUGAAGCUCAGUUGAAUAGAGAAAUGUGACCCUAUGAUGCUGUGAGAAAUGAUAUAUUUUAAUCCAGGUGGUUACAGCAUAGACCCUGACGGGGAAGAAAGUGUAACCCUCUCUCUCCAGAAGACCUCAUUUUCUAAAGGCUCCAUUAAAUGGCUGCAGAGCCCCCGAUGGCAAAAGACACACUCUCACCGCUUGCUUUUCAGAAAUUCUUAAGCUGUUUGCACCAAGGUGGUCAAAUGCAGUGAUUUUCUGUGAGCAUUUUGGUCCCAUAAUUUCAUAUUCCAUCCACUCCUCCUUCCCCUCCAAAAAAAAUAGCGAAGAAAGAGCGUUGCAGCAGCUCCUCUGCCAUGUGCCGGCAGCGACCAUCUUUCUGUUGUUUGCGGGACCGAGCAGGCUCUCGCCUCAGCCGGGCGUCCAGUGCAGAGUUGGACAGAUUCAAUAUCCUUUCCAAGGGCAGCUCCAACAGAGGUUUUGUUAAACUUGACAAGCAGAAAUUAAAAUGUAUAUGGAAGGGCAGAGGACUAAGAGUGGCCAAGAUGCUUCUGAAUUUGAAGAACUUGAGGAGACCUACCUGAAAAGACACUGUGGUUUAUUGUAGAGAUAGUAUCAUGUGAGGUGCAGAGGGAGGCAUUCUAACCAGCUGAACAAAAUAAGGAGCCUGGAGACUAACUCACAUGUAUGUUGACCUUUAGAUAUGACAGAGGUGACAUGGCAAUCAGUGGGGACAGGAAGAACUUACUCCAUAAAUAGUGCUGGAACAAGUGGUUAUCCAUACGGGGAAAAAAUAUUUUGAUUUCUGCCUCACAGCUUACACAGCAGUCAGUUCCAAAUAUAUUAAGGGCUUAAAUGCAAAAGGCAAAAAUGUUGAAUGUUUACAUGAAAAAAUUCUUGGGAUAGGAAUUUCUUUAGACACAAAGCACUAAAUAUAAAAUAUGAUUAAGUCAACUAUAUUUAAAUUAAGGACCUCUGUUAAGCAAAUGGAGCCCUGGUGGUGCAGUGGUUAAGAUUUCAGCUGCUAACCAAAAGGUGGGCAGUUCAAAUUUGCCAGCCGCUCCUUGGAAACCCUCUAGGGCAGUUCUACUUUGUCCUGUAGGGUCACUAUGAGUUGGAAUCACUCCACAGCAACGGGCUUGGGCUUGGCUGGUUAAGUAAACAAACAAUUUAAGUGAAAGGACAAGUCACAUCUUGAGGAGAGAGAUUUAUAAUACAAAUAAUUGACAAAGGAUUAGUAAUAAGAAUAUAUAGUUUGUAUUCUAAAAAACUCAGUAAUAAUACUUGGAAAGACGUUUCAUAGAAGAGGAGAUACGUAGGGUUCGUAAACAGAUGCUUCAGCAGCAUUGAUCGUCAGGGAAAUUUAAAUCAAGAUGAUAAUGAGAUUCUACUUUACAUCCACUAAAUUUGCAAAAAUUAGUCUGUCAGUGCCAGGUGCUGAAGAAGAUCCGUGGGAACUCAUGCAUUGUUAUGGGUGUGCAAAUAGCCACUGCUGCUUUAGAAAUUAGUUACACCUCACAAAGUUGAACAUUCACAUAACCUCUGACCUAGCUUACGACUCCUAGGUGUAUAGGAACUUGCAUGUGUGCCCCAGGAGAUAUGUAUGAGUUUCAGUUGGUGGUGAUGGAAAAAUCACAUUAAGGGCAGAGUUGCACAGCUGAUUCAUGUAAUUGCUGUCAAUAAGUUGUACACCUGUAAAAAGUUGAAUUGGUAAAAAGUUGUGUGAUAGAUACAUUAACAACAAUGGAAAAAAAGAGUAGCUGCUGAGUCUACUUAUGUACAACCAAACACCACAUGGGAUUUGGUUCCUUGGUUAGGAGGUUUAGGGUCAUGGUUUCAUGGGACAUUCCAGUUAAUUGGCCUAAUAAUCAUGUUUAGUGCUUCUGUUCUACCUCCUAGUUCAUCGCGCGUACAAUCUUGGGUCUUAAAAGUUUACAAGCGGCCAUCCAAUUGGUCUGUAUUCGCCUGGAGCGACAGAGGAAGAAGGAGGAGGAAAUGAAAUGUCAGGCUAAUUGCUUCCAUGAACAACUGCCUCUUUGCCAUGAGACCAGAACUCGAUGGUGUCUGGAUAACAUUACUGACAUUUUGAUCAAAGAUUCUAUAGACAAAUUCUGAUCAGUGGGGGGAAAUGCAGAAUGGAAUUGUAAAUUCUCAUGGAAUCCAGAUUUUCUGGAGCUGGGAAGGCUAGAUGAACCCAUGAAACUAUUGUCCUGAGAUAAUCCUUAAAGCUCAAACCAAAAAUAUCCCCUCAAGUCUUCUCAAAAACCAAACAGUAGUUUAGCUUAACUAGUAAAGAAUGUCUGCCUUGAGCAUUGAGCUCUUUUAAGAUCUGUUUAUAUGGGAUCAAAUUGUCAACAGUAACUGGAAAGAUUAGAUAGGAGCCUUAGGGGGCAUUGAGUUUAUGUUAAUGGGGAGGAACAACUUGAAAAAGGGGAGUGAAAAUGGUUGCACAACUGGAAGAAUAAUCAAUGUCACUGAAUUGUACAUGUAGAAAUUGUUGAUUUGGUCUAUGUUUUGCUGUGUAUAUUGUCAACAGCAACAACAAAAAUAUGUAUUUUUUAAAAAUUCAUAACAUUCACUAUCAGUGAAGAACUGGAAAAACAAAUGUCUGUCUGCAGGGGAAUGAAUAAAUAAAUUAGCAUAUCUAUACUGUAGUGUAUUAUUGAAGAGUGAAAGUGAAUGAGUUACAGCUAUACCUCACAAAUAAGUACCAAUGUUGGAAAAUGUUAAGAAGACAGGCAAGGUCUAAGAGACCAUAUAUGGUAUACUAUUUUUAUUGAGCUCAAUACCAAACAAAAACAAACAAAACCAAACUAUGUUGUCUAGCCACAUGUAUGCAAUAAAACUGUGUUUGUUUUUCUUAAAAAAGGAAUGGAAUGAUAAGCCAAAAUUUAGCAUAGUAAUUACCCUUGUGCAGUUGGGACAGAAGGAUGGGCUAGGAGAGGAACAGAUAGAUACAAGUUAUUAGUAGUGUUCUAGCUCUUUCUUUGGGUGGUACGUUUAUGGGUGUUCAUAUGCUUUAUAAUGGAUAUAUAACAUGUAGAGUUUUGUAUUAUUAAAGAUGUUACAUUUGAUACAUGUAUUAAAUAUAUUUAAAAAAUUAAUAAAAGUAAAAUGGAAUGAUACACCAAAAUCUGGGGUGGUGAUUUUGUGGUUAAUGUUUUAUGUGUGUCAAAUACGUAUUUUAAUGAGCGCAAGAACAUUUUAGCCAGAGUGAACAGCAGGUACAGAGGCAGGGAGGGAAGAGAGUAGUCCAUCUGCGGAUCAUGACCAGUAAGGCUAGAGCAGUGUAAACUGUGGGCGGUUGGAGUAUGAGGCUGGAGAGGCAGGAGCUGGAUGGUGAGAGCUUGUGCAAGCCAUGCUAAGAACUGGCCUUGAUCCAGAGGGCUGUGGGGAAGAACCAUUGAAAAAUUUUAAGCAGUGUCUUGUUUGCAAUAUGAAUUUGACAGGUGUGUGAAAACAGAUUGCUGGGCCAGGAUGGGGGAGAGGGAAAAGCAGGUGUGCAGUUAUAAUAAUACAGGUCAGAAAAGACGGCAGUCUGAACUAAAGCAAUGUCUGUGAGGAUGGAGAGG